rnacentral:rRNA from 1 species
UACGUAGGGUGCGAGCGUUGUCCGGAAUUAUUGGGCGUAAAGAGCUCGUAGGCGGCUUGUCACGUCGGGUGUGAAAGCCCGGGGCUUAACCCCGGGUCUGCAUUCGAUACGGGCUAGCUAGAGUGUGGUAGGGGAGAUCGGAAUUCCUGGUGUAGCGGUGAAAUGCGCAGAUAUCAGGAGGAACACCGGUGGCGAAGGCGGCAUCCUGGACCGAGAUUGACGCUGAACGGCGAAAGCUAGGGGAGCAAACGGG